rnacentral:rRNA from 1 species
UACGUAGGGUGCAAGCGUUAAUCGGAAUUACUGGGCGUAAAGCGUGCGCAGGCGGUUGUUCAAGACAGGGGUGAAAUCCCCGGGCUUAACCUGGGAACUGCACUUGUGACUGCACAGCUGGAGUACGGCAGAGGGGGAUGGAAUUCCGCGUGUAGCAGUGAAAUGCGUAGAUAUGCGGAGGAACACCGAUGGCGAAGGCAGUCCCCUGGGCCUGUACUGACGCUCAUGCACGAAAGCGUGGGGAGCAAACAGG